AAAUGUAAUGUAAUGUUACUAGAGCGCGUGCUGGGAAUGAAUUGCUCAUUUCCACGAAGCAUGACUCAGCCAUCACAUCAGGACAUUUUUUUCCUCUUGAAAGCCCUUGGAGCCAAAUUGUGAUAGAAUCAAGAGGCAUCACUUAAGAACAUGAGUGAUUUCCAAAUGUCGAGGCGGCGCCAUGAAGCCACAAAGCUGAGGACACCGGGCCACCUGCUGAGGCCAUCUUCCAGCCUGCUGACAGAGUGUUCGUGUCAGUGGUCUUCCAGCUCUUUACACACGAAGUCCUUAUCAGGAGAAGCACAUGCUCAAAAGCCUUUUUAUUCCGUCACACACACACAAAGGUCUAUUUCGCUAAUAAUAAUAAAUGCUUUAUUAUUUUGAAAAUCCUGAUUUAACACUUCAUGAUAAAACA
rnacentral:lncRNA from 1 species